rnacentral:rRNA from 1 species
UCCCAGACUCCUACGGGAGGCAGCAGUGGGGGAUAUUGCACAAUGGGGGGAACCCUGAUGCAGCGACGCCGCGUGGGUGAAGGAGUAUUUCGGUAUGUAAAGCCCUAUCAGCAGGGAAGAACAAUGACGGUACCUGACUAAGAAGCACCGGCUAAAUACGCGCCAGCAGCCGCGGUAAUACGUAGGGGGCAAGCGUUAUCCGGAUUUACUGGGUGUAAAGGGAGCGUAGACGGCGAUGCAAGCCAGAUGUGAAAGCCCGGGGCUCAACCCCGGGACUGCAUUUGGAACUGUGUGGCUGGAGUGUCGGAGAGGCAGGCGGAAUUCCUAGUGUAGCGGUGAAAUGCGUAGAUAUUAGGAGGAACACCAGUGGCGAAGGCGGCCUGCUGGACGAUGACUGACGUUGAGGCUCGAAAGCGUGGGGAGCAAACAGGAUUAGAUACCCGAGUA